GCUUACGGACACACCGGCCUGAGUACCCCUGAUCUCGUCCGAUCUCGGAAGCUAAGCAGGGUCGGGCCUGUUAGUACUUGGAUGGGAGACCGCCUGGGAAUACCAGGUGCUGUAAGCU
rnacentral:rRNA from 1 species